rnacentral:tRNA from 1 species
GGGGUGUUGGUCUAGUGGUUAAGACAGUGGCUUUGUGUGUGGAAGAUCGCUGGUUCGAAUCCUGCAUGUGCUA